rnacentral:lncRNA from 1 species
AUAGUUUUUGUUUUGUAAAGAGGUGAAGAAUGAGUUUUAUGGAGUGAUUAGAGUGUGAGCUUAUAUGGAAGAAGGUUUAGUAGUUGAUUUACUGAGUGUGUUGAUCAAAAAGAGAAAAGAGGGAGAGGUUAGGCAAGUUAGAGGGAUCCAAAAAAAUGCCGAAGAAUCUCAAUCCUCUCCUUCUGUAUUGACCACCUCCAACCUUUUUU